AUCCAAUAACUGACGAGUCCCAAAUAGGACGAAAUGCGCAUCCUGGAU
rnacentral:hammerhead_ribozyme from 1 species